GUGAUCAUUCCAGCACUAAUGCACCGGAUCCCAUCAGAACUCCGAAGUUAAGCGUGCUUGGGCGAUAGCAGUACUUGGAUGGGUGACCCCUGGGAAGUCCUCGUGUUGCACCU
rnacentral:rRNA from 1 species